CCUACGGGAGGCAGCAGUGAGGAAUAUUGGUCAAUGGGCGCGAGCCUGAACCAGCCAAGCAGCGUGAAGGAUGAAUGCCCUACGGGUUGUAAACCUCUUUUGUAAAGGAAUAAAGUGAGGCACGUGUGCCUUUUUGUAUGUACUUUAUGAAUAAGGAUCGGCUAACUCCGUGCCAGCAGCCGCGGUAAUACGGAGGAUCCGAGCGUUAUCCGGGUUUAAUGGGUUUAAAGGGAGCCAAGAUGGGUUGGUAAGUCAGUUGUGAAAGGUGGCGGCGCAACCGUGAAAUUGCAAUUGAUACUGGCAGCCUGGAGUACAGGUGAGGUAGGCGGAAUUCGUGGUGUAGCGGUGAAAUGCUUAGAUAUCACGAAGAACUCCGAUUGCGAAGGCAGCUUACUAGACUGCCACUGACGUUGAUGCUCGAAAGUGUGGGUAUCAAACAGGAUUAGAUACCCCAGUAGUC
rnacentral:rRNA from 1 species